rnacentral:lncRNA from 1 species
GUCUCAGCCUGGUUCUUCCUUUUUCCUCCUCCUCUGAGGUAGCAACUGCCUCAUCUUUUCCAUCUAUAGAGUGUGGAAUAUGUGCCCUACUUCAUUCAGGAAUGUUGGACAAACCAGCUAUUUAGAGAGCGAAGGAGAGGAACUUCCGAGAGCAACGGCCCGCAAGAGAAACCCAGGGACUCCUGCCCUUUGGCAGCUUUGUCCUUGUGCUGCUCACACCGAAAGCACUCGGGGGUGACCUGCAUCAAAAAUGCAUUGCAGUAGUCUGGGCACGGUGGCUCAUGCCUGUAAUCCCAGCUCUUUGGGAGGCCGAGGCACUGUGCUAAGUUUGACUUACAGAGACGAAUAUUUGGCCACAUCUUCAAGGAGCUCAGACCUUCAUGGACAUACCAAAUAUAUACAGAACUAACUCUACUGCUUAUCACAAUGAGAGCUGUGCCGUGGAUAUUUGAAAGUUAGAGAGAUUUAUUUUCAACAGAAUAAUAAAGUCAACUUUCACAAA